rnacentral:rRNA from 1 species
UAACACGUAUCCAACCUGCCGUCUACUCUUGGACAGCCUUCUGAAAGGAAGAUUAAUACAAGAUGGCAUCAUGAGUCCACAUGUUCACAUGAUUAAAGGUAUUCCGGUAGACGAUGGGGAUGCGUUCCAUUAGAUAGUAGGCGGGGUAACGGCCCACCUAGUCUUCGAUGGAUAGGGGUUCUGAGAGGAAGGUCCCCCACAUUGGAACUGAGACACGGUCCAAACUCCUACGGGAGGCAGCAGUGAGGAAUAUUGGUCAAUGGGCGAGAGCCUGAACCAGCCAAGUAGCGUGAAGGAUGACUGCCCUAUGGGUUGUAAACUUCUUUUAUAAAGGAAUAAAGUCGGGUAUGGAUACCCGUUUGCAUGUACUUUAUGAAUAAGGAUCGGCUAACUCCGUGCCAGCAGCCGCGGUAAUACGGAGGAUCCGAGCGUUAUCCGGAUUUAUUGGGUUUAAAGGGAGCGUAGAUGGAUGUUUAAGUCAGUUGUGAAAGUUUGCGGCUCAACCGUAAAAUUGCAGUUGAUACUGGAUGUCUUGAGUGCAGUUGAGGCAGGCGGAAUUCGUGGUGUAGCGGUGAGAUGCUUAGAUAUCACGAAGAACUCCGAUUGCGAAGGCAGCCUGCUAAGCUGCAACUGACAUUGAGGCUCGAAAGUGUGGGUAUCAAACAGGAUUAGAUACCCUGGUAGUCCACACGGUAAACGAUGAAUACUCGCUGU